UUGGGAUUGUAGAGAUUCUCGUCUGAGCUCUUGUGAGCCCCGUACACGCGAGGCAUGCCAUCAGACUGGCAUUUGACAAAAGCCAGCCUGACAAGAGUGCAGAGAGCUUGUCCCCUCCAAAGAAAGGAGCUCGUGCUGCUCUCCCUGCAGUCACCAGAGUGUGCAGGCUGUGGUGACUGCAGAGAUGUUGUGCAGACUGCAGAUAAUCUACAGUAUGUUUUCAAGCACCAGGAAGGAUUUUAUCACAUCUGACAACAUUAGGAUCCAUUUCAGGGAAGCAAAAAUGUGUUGAGUGAAGCUGCAGCUGUAAAAACAGCUGACAUGACUGAAGCAGUAACCGCACUGGAAGGCGGAGACGGCGGAAAGGCAGGCCUGCUGCAUGCUAAAGCCACCAUUCCUCUCUGCCGGCCUGCAAAUGACCAAAUUACUUCAUAAACCUAAAAGAAGUAAGCCUACAAAGAGAAGGAGCGCUGUUAGACUCUUCCUUUAACCUUAUCUUUCUACCAACCUUAUUUAUCCUUUUCAUUAAUGUUAAAACACUAAUUCCUUUAUUUGCCCGGUCUCACCUCUACUGGAUAAUUUAGCAUUUGUCAUGAAACUGCUACGUCAGUGUUACUUGGUGUUUGUCUUGCAAUGACUGUUGUAAAAUUUGGUUUCAAACUCUUAUUAGCUGAGUCUAUGCCCUUUUCUCCCUCAGUGCGCCACGAAACCUUACAGCAGAGCUCAGUUAUAGUUGCUGUUUUCAUUCCUGGCAUACCACCCCAAACCAGCUAUGAGACCACAGACACUUUCUGAGUCUGCUAGACAGACCAGAAAUAUUUUCAGGAGUUUGGGAUGAUUUUCACUUCUUUUUUAAAAAAAAUCUCCAUAAAUCUCUUGAUUCUCCCUCUCUCUCUCUGUCUGUCUCUCUUUCUCUCCCUGAGUUUGUUAAAUUGUUUGCCCUUGUCAUUCUUAUAAGGUCUGGCAUGCGUUGUAAUAAUUCUGCGAUGGCCUGUGAAUGUUUUAAAGAAAGCAAAUUAUUCUGAUCCAUUCUCAGCCUGGAGAAAGUCUGAAGAACGAUUGCUAGGUUGGCUUCCAAACUACGUGACUUUCGCCAGUUUUCGGGUUCCAAAAAACAGAAUACCACUCUGUGGUCAUUUUCACAGCUAGCUAUUUUCAUGAAAGGUUAAUGGCAAUACGGAACAUGCUCUGCCCUGCAAUUAAAACAAUUUUGGUCACUGGGGAUGAGAUUUGAAUACAAUAGCAUUCGGCUAGCUCCAAAAAAUGUUUUUAUCCAUUUUCCAGAACCGUUUAUCUAAUACAUGGUUAUUAAAUAUAAUCAAUUUAUUAUUUUUUAUUAUUUAAUUAUUUAAAUAAAAAGUCCCAGAAGGAAAGGAAUCCAGUUUUUUCCAGCUGAGCGUCUGGUUAAACCAGCCGUUCAUUUCUUUCAUCAGUAGCAUCUAUCAGUCUAGUUAGGCUGUUAUAUGUCGAUGAGUCCUUGUUUUACUAUAAUAGCCCUGAUUACUGAUCGAGAAUAGUCAGGUUGGCAUCGCGCUAACCGCGAGUCGCUAACAGAGCUGGGUUCGUCCUUCCUGUCUUCGCUGUCAUGUGUCCCAAAUCCACCUUCCAGCAGCUGCCAGGGAUCCGCGUCCAGCUCGCGUAGGUAAGGCAACGGACCCGUCCCACUAACUCUCCAGGCUGAUCUCAUUUUUGGGGGGUGGGGGGGACUUAAUAAGCACGUGCUUAUAAUCGGUUAAAACUUUGCACGCAUGACGUUGCACGCAUGCCUGUUACAGUAUGUACAGAUUAUAAGAUAGUAUCUGAAAUGGCAAUGUUUAUUUAGGUUAAAACACACACCCUAGUGGAAAAUGAAUUUUUCAGAUGGGUUCAAUAUAAUACGGCUUAAAUGACACGAUUGACAAUGACGAUAAUACAUAAUGUAAAAAUAUAGGCAUAGAUAGAUAGAUAGAUAGAUAGAUAGAUAGAUAGAUAGAUAGAUAGAUAGAGUUUGAGAGGUAGUUUAAUUUUAGGGGUGUACUUCAUAAGGGUUGACCCCAGCCACAUGGUGUGGUAUUCUAAAAGAAAUUUACAGACCAAGGCAGGUGCCGGUGGC